rnacentral:misc_RNA from 1 species
UGUUCAGGAUAUGCUCCAUCUUCGAAGUAAAACUCAGGCCUGCCACCUUUGGUAGGAUCAAACCCCGGCUUCAUCUUUGGCACGGCACUUGUAAGAAUGAUGAGAGCAUCAAUGCCUUGAAUUGCAGGACCAAGGCUAUCUGCAUCCCUUAUAUCGCCAACAAAAAGAUCGUCUGCUCCACCAAUACUUUGCUUGCUCUCUUCAGUUCUAACCAAACCUCUUGCAACAUACUGAUCUGACCUCUCCUUCAAUUUCUUGUAAACUAGUUGACCGGUUCUGCCACCAGCUCCGGUGACGAGGACGGUGGUGGGACCAGAAUCCGCCAUGGCAACCACGGAGAGAGCACGGACUCGGCGGCUUCUGAAACCCUUCUGGGAGGUCGGGGAAAUGGAAGAGCCAAGGAUUUGAAGUGAAUUAGAAAUGGGAACCAAACAACAUUUAUGGCAUUGACGAAAGGGCAGUGGUGGAGAAGAGGUAGGCUUUAAGGCGGAGUAGACUAAUGGGACACGUGUAAG